GACGAACGCUGGCGGCGUGCUUAACACAUGCAAGUCGAACGAUGAAGCCGGAGCUUGCUCUGGUGAAUUAGUGGCGAACGGGUGAGUAACACGUGAGCAACCUGCCCUUGACUCUGGGAUAACUGCUAGAAAUGGUAGCUAAUACCGGAUACGACCCUCGGAGGCAUCUCCAGGGGGUGGAAAGAAUUUCGGUCAAGGAUGGACUCGCGGCCUAUCAGCUAGUUGGUGAGGUAACGGCUCACCAAGGCGACGACGGGUAGCCGGCCUGAGAGGGUGACCGGCCACACUGGGACUGAGACACGGCCCAGACUCCUACGGGGGGCAGCAGUGGGGAAUAUUGCACAAUGGGCGCAAGCCUGAUGCAGCAACGCCGCGUGAGGGAUGACGGCCUUCGGGUUGUAAACCUCUUUUAGUAGGGAAGAAGCGAAAGUGACGGUACCUGCAGAAAAAGCACCGGCUAACUACGUGCCAGCCGCCGCGUAA
rnacentral:rRNA from 1 species